AAGCACAGAGGAAUCAGGAUCAAUCAAAUGGAAAUAAAAUAUCACCACGAAUAAAACACCCGUGGCAACACCGCUGCUGCUUUCACACUUAUCAAGAACAAAUCAGCUCUUUGAUUUACACAAACCUCCCAAACGCCUCUGAUGACGCACGAGCAGAAACUCGCAAAUAACGCCGCCAAAAAUUUAAAGUGAAAUGUUCUCAGGCUGAUCUGAGUCACAGUUUAAACAGAUUCACAUUGGUGUCAAAUUACAAAAACAUAAAAAUAAUCUGGAGAUUCAAGAUGGUCAACGAAAGACUCAGUGGUUACACCAGGGGUGUCCAACAUGUGGUGCGGGGGCCACUGUGGGCCAAGGAGGUAUUUAGGCCACAAGCCAGUUGAUGCAGGUAGACAUUUUAUUUAUUUUACUUUAUUUUAUUUAAAAGAAGGCAAUUUUCAUAAACAGACUAAUUAAAAGUCUACUUCAAAUGAAAAAUGUAAAGUGUGACACAUUGUAUUCAACUUUUAUCUUUAAUUUAAUAGUAAAUAAAAAUGAAAACAUCCGGAGACUUUUACUCAAACAGGAGACUCAUGCUCAAUUAUUAGUAUUAUAUUUUAUUUUUGUUGAAAUAAAAACCCAAAACAUUCAUGACAUUGUUUUUUUCUUUCUCCAGGCAAACCUGUGAGAAUGUUUCAGGUUUGCAGAUCCGUCUGCUGCAGACCUUAAUAUCGCUUGUUGUUAAAUCGCCUUAUGCAAGUUUGGUUCAUUUGUUUUUCUCUGAUUGUAAAAGGAAAAGAUGGAUUGUUAAUUGGAAGUUCUGACAUGGAAAAAAAAGGCCAAAAAUGUCAAGCACUGCACACUUUUUUAUUAAUAAGUAUAAUAUCAAUACAAAUAAACAUAAAAAAAAUAUUGAUCUUUGCUUGGACACCUUUUCUCAAUAACUUCAUUAUUCCCACCAAAAUAACCAAAAGCUUCCUGUUUCUGGUUAAUUAAGUCAGAUAAUUUAAUAAAACACAUUCCUGAAGUGCAAAUUUAUUUCCAGUUCCUGACUCCAGUUCACCGAUUCGUCUCUAGUAUUUAAAAUAAAACUAAAUCGAGUAUUUUAGGCCAAACAGUGGCCUUCAUUAGCAAUUACAAAACAAAACUGCAAUAUAAUAUAAUUUCCAUUGCUCAUACUGUGAUCACAUUUAACUGCAAAACGUGGAAAUAAUCUGCAGCUUAAUCCCAGAACUUCACCAUUUUUAUUUUUAUAAUUAGUGUAAGCAAAAUAUCUUUAUGUUUCAAGGCAGGCACAGUUUAUGUGUUAAAGUUUUUAAUGGUGAAAAUAUAAACUAUACAUUUAAAAACUGCUGGAUAAAAAUGGAUCAUUGUAACUAAAUAGACAUUUAUUGUAAAACAAAGACAACUCCUCCAAUAUGGUUUGUUGAAGUAUUUUUUAAAAACUGUUCUUUGAAGAAAGUAGUCAAGAAUAGCACUACCUAAACAUAUUUUUACUGGAGUAAAAUUAGUCGUCCAAGAAACUAUUCAAGAGUAAAAUGGUAUGACAGAAAGGCUACACAAGUACUAACUGGUCAGAAAAUCUUAUUUUUGUAUCUGAAAAGUUAUGUGCCAAUUCUGUUUAUUAAAAGUAAAAUAAAAUAAAAUAACAUAUAACACAAUUCCAAAAUAAAUUUAGGCACUAGAAACUUUUAGAAAUAAUAUUUCAAUAGAAAGUUUAACGUAGUAGACAUGGAUUGUUUUAAGGUUCAUUUGCAGCUUUUAUCAUAAUUUGAUCUCCAAAUAUAACAUUAUUAAAACAAAGUUGGUGUAUGAAAAAAAUGUCUCACUUUGACAGAAACCUUGUACAUUUUUAAUUAUAAUAUAUUCAGUGAAGUUACUCCAACUAAGGAGAGACUCCAUUAAUUUUAUCCAAAUAUGAGUAGGGCUAUUUCAUAACAUUACUCAACUAAAAGCAAAAAGGAUGUUGGAGUAAAUCUACUCUAAAAAGUACACUUUAUUACAAACCGUUACUCAAGUAAAUGUUGCUAGUUUCUACAAAUUUGAAGUUUGUAAUGGGCAUAUUACGAUUGCUAAUAUGCCCAUUUUCAGUCAUUACAUACAUUUAAUAAUAUAACAAUUUAAAUAAAAUGUGCAGUUGUACACAGCUGUUUGUGAUCGGUGAAUAACGUGAUAGAUGUGGGAUAAAUUUAGAGCAUCCUGUCAGGCUAGCGAGGCUGCGCUCCAUCGCGAUGUUUAACUGUGCAGUCAGUCUCGUGAGCGGCUUUCCCAUCACUACGCACAACAAACUGCGUAAAAACACCUCCUCCCAACUAAUUAAAACAGCUUCUAUAGCGGAACACAACAUGGUAAUGCUCCCAUUGUGUCGAUCUAAACGUAUUUUUCGAGAAAAGUCCGAAUUAACAUCGGAUGCAGACCUGCUCUCGUCGACCUUGGAGCAGAAACGUUACAGCUACUUAGCUUAGCACGUUUUAGCAUUAGCUUCGAAGAAGCCGCGAAAAACACCGCAAAUUGUUUCAACCGCUACACCCUCCGAGACGACUGCUAGGUGCGUUGACUGUUCUCUACUAGCACAUGCAUGCGUUUGGAGGAUCCAGAUGUCAUACCCUCCGCCAGUCCCGAAGGUGAACGUUUACCUGCCAUGGAGGCCGUGUUGAUGAUGACGCCGCCGCGGCCGCCGCUCAGCCGGUUCAUCUGCUCCAGAGCCACGUGUUGUGGAAAAGCUUCUGGCUUUCAGCUAAGCUUCGUGUUUUAACACGUUACCUCUGAUCUGCUCCUCGGAUUCAACGUCACACUUCAGGAAGAUGGUCUUCUCUGCUCCGAAGUGCUGCUCCAGGGCCUGCAGGAGGCGCUCUGCCGCAGACUCAUUAAUGUCCAGCAGAGCCACCUGCACAG